UACGAAUGGGGCAAGCGUUGUUCGGAAUCACUGGGCUUAAAGCGUGCGCAGGCGGAUUUGCAAGUCAGAAGUGAAAGCCUUGGGCUCAACCCGAGAAUUGCUUUUGAAACUGCAAAUCUAGAAUCCGGUAGAGGUUGGGAGAAUUCCUAGUGUAGAGGUAAAAUUCGCAGAUAUUAGGAGGAAUACCAGUGGCGAAGGCGCCCAACUGGGCCGGUAUUGACGCUCAUGUACGAAAGCGUGGGGAGCAAACAGG
rnacentral:rRNA from 1 species